GUAGGGAAUCUUCCGCAAUGGACGCAAGUCUGACGGAGCAACGCCGCGUGAGUGAUGAAGGUUUUCGGAUCGUAAAACUCUGUUGCGAGGGAAGAAACCGUGCCAACUAACUAUUGGCACCUUGACGGUACCUCGCCAGAAAGCCACGGCUAACUACGUGCCAGCAGCCGCGGUAAUACGUAGGUGGCAAGCGUUGUCCGGAAUUAUUGGGCGUAAAGCGAGCGCAGGCGGUCCCUUAAGUCUGAUGUGAAAGCCCAAGGCUCAACCGUGGAGGGUCAUUGGAAGAUGGGGGAAUUGAGUGCAGAAGAGGAAAGUGGAAUUCCAUGUGUAGCGGUGAAAUGCGUAGAGAUGUGGAGGAACACCAGUGGCGAAGGCGACUUUCUGGUCUGUAACUGACGCUGAGGCGCGAAAGCGUGGGGAGCAAACAGGAUUAGAUACCCCUGUAGUCC
rnacentral:rRNA from 1 species